ensembl:snRNA U6 U6 spliceosomal RNA
UUGCUUUGGCUGCACAUAUACUAAAAUUAAAAUAAUACCAAAAAGAGUGGCAUGGUCCCAGCACAAGGAUGACAGGUGAAUUUGUGAAGCUCUCCAUAUGAAA